CCCCAGUGUUGGAGCACAGUCCUGCGGGAGCGGUGUGGCCUUGGCACAUGGCCUACCUCUGGAGCCCCACAUUCCCCUAUCCACGGAGGGCAUACAACAGGAGGGCAGGAAAAGAGCAUGUGGUCGAGGGGUGAAGUCCGGUCUUGUCACCUCAGCAGACCAACCCCGGAGAGGUGCAAGACAGGGUCCUAACCAAAGAGUUCGGACAAAGGCGGACAAUUACACCAGGGCCGGGACUGCGCUUCGGGCCAGAGGAGGGCAGAAAGAACGAGAAAGCCAGGGAGGCUGAGGGCCAGAGCCCGCUGGCCGGUGGCCAGCCUGAAGGAGCAGCUGGACCAGGAGGUGCAACAGCAGCGACGGCGACAAGCCCGCCUCAGCCAGGCCUCCCAGGCCAAGAAGUGAGGCCUGCUACAGCCCCCGGGCGGCCUGAGUGCUGGGCCAGCAGAACCGCUAUUCGGGACACCACUCCUGACGCUGCCCAGAGAGGGGCCGAGCUUGAGGGCUGGAUGUGGUGCCAGCAGAGGUGCGAGGGCACAGGGGGCCACUGCCCCCAGCCCACCAUGCCUUCCCGGGGGGCCUAGUUCAGCAGGUGCCCCCAAUUCCACUGACCACAGAGCUCCUCCCAGCCCUCAGGACCCUGGCCUCUGGCUGGCACUGGGCCUCACUUCAGGUCACUCCUUUCUGAGGCCCCGCUCCUGGCUGCAGGAAUCUCUGCAGAGCCUGCAUGGGGCCUGGCACUCGGCUGCCACUUCAGACUUGCGGAUCUGGCCAGACCCUGGUGGCCAGGCCCCGUGAGGUUGGCUUCCGUGGCCGCAGGCUGCAUUCCGUGCCCUCAGCUCUGUAAACACAGGGAAAUACGUGGAAAACAUUUCCACCGACUGGAGCCAAAAACAUAAUGUCCUGCAAGGCCCAGCCACCGCAUCCCCACGUCCCAAGGCGGCGGAACCUUCCGUAUCCAGGAACUGCAGGUCCGUCACGGUGGCAGGUGGCUGGAAAUGACUCAGAGUCAAGUCCCCGUGACUCACUGGCCACAAGAGGCAUUGGAGUGUAAAGUUAACUUUGUUACAGAACCUCCCACUUUCCCAGCCCAUAAACUCUGGGAAAAUUCCUGCGGGAAUCCGGCCCUGGUUGCUACGGAGACCCAGGCAGCCAUCUUGGGCCUGCUGCAUGGUUCACCUGUUAGCAUUUUUACUCGUUUCCCCCAUUAACAUGAGUCAGAGUGAUUUGUUUUCCUCUCCAAACGGCCUCUUUUGUUUUGUAAGUGGUACAUUUACAGUAUCUCUGGGGCACCAGCCAGCCCAGUAAAUUCCUGCAUGCACAGGUGCCACUGUCCCCUGUGAGCUGUGCUCCUCUCUCCAGGAACUCCUGUCACACCCUCGAGAACACGCAUGGGGGGCGGGAAGGGCCAAAAGCUCAUGGAGCCCACCCCAUCACCAUCACUGUAAGCUGUUUCCCAAAUGUGUGACAGCCAUCAGUCUGUCUCAAGAUUGAUCCAGGACUUAAAAUAGGCUGUCCUGUCAGACCCGGCUCUCUGAUUUACUAAUGGAGUUACCACAUGUCGUAAACUGUACAAAAGCAAGG
rnacentral:lncRNA from 1 species